rnacentral:rRNA from 1 species
CCUAUCUGGUUGAUCCUGCCAGUAGUCAUAUGCUUGUCUCAAAGAUUAAGCCAUGCAUGUCUAAGUCCAAGCUGUGUCUGACACGGCGAUACCGCGGACGGCUCAUUAAAUCAGUCGUGGUCCAAAUGGGCCAGUGUUAAACUUACUUGGAUAACUGUGGUAAUUCCAGAGCUAAUACAUGCAACUCAUAUCCCGAUGGCGCGCUCGGCUCUCUUGCAGGGCUUGUGUGUUGUUCUGACGGAUGCUUUUAUUAGACCAAACCGCUGGGGGCGUGUGUCGUGUGUGCGAGUCGCUUCGGUGGCCGUGCCGCGCACGCGCUUGACUCGUGUUGUGGUGACUCUGGAUAACCUUUUUGACAAGCGCACGUACCCCUCUUUUGGGUGGGACGGCGCUGCCACUUUCGAGUGUCUGCCUUAUCAGCUAUCAACCGCUCGUUACGCGCGACCGAUGGCUUUGACGGGUAACGGGGAAUCAGGGUUCGAUUCCGGAGAGGCAGCCUGAGAGACGGCUACCACGUCCAAGGACGGCAGCAGGCACGCAAAUUACCCAAUCCCAGCAACUGGGGGAGGUAGUGACGAAAUCUAACGAUGCGGGCGCCCUUUCUGGGGCCCCGCAAUCGGAAUGAGCGCUUUCUAAACAACCUGUUGAGAACCUACUGAAGGGCAAGUCUGGUGCCAGCAGCCGCGGUAAUUCCAGCUUCAGUAGCAUCUAUUAAAGCUGCUGCGGUUAAAAGGCUCGCAGUUGAAUGUCUGUAUCGAGCGCAGGUCAGGUGGACGCUGGGGUGUGGGAAUGCAUAUGGAGUGGCACGGGCGCGUGCUUGCUUUCUCGCAGCGUGUAGCUUCUGCUCUCGCUCGGGGACUUGCUUCGCGUACCGACUGCUUCUCUCACGUAACCCCCGUCCGUGACAAGCCUCCUCGCUUGCGUACAUAUCGGGAUCGGUCAAACGGAGUGCGUGCAGCUCGCCGUACUACUCGUGCCGUCUUGCUCUGGCAGCGUUGGUUAACCCCUUCGUGGUCCAGCUCGGCUUGGCGGUUGCGGGUGCGGAGGCGCUCACGCGUUAAGCUCUUCGGUUCCAUUGUCACCUUGAGUAAAUCAGAGUGCUCAAAGCAGUCGUAGGGGCCUUGUGUCCUGUGAACAGUCUAGACGGAUUGACUUGGUUUUGCAUGGCAUGUCGGAAGACGACGUCGUGUGCUGGCUCAGAGAUGCGUUGGGCGUGCCUCGCGCGCGCGCACGCAGGAAUCAGUGGUGCAAGCCAGCCUUGACGUAAUGAUUAAAAGGGACGGUCGAGGGCAUUGGUAUUGCGGGGCGAGAGGUGAAAUUCUAUGACCCCCGCAAGACCUCCUGAAGCGAAAGCGUCUGCCAAGGGCGUUUUCAUUAAUCAUGAACGAAAGUUAGAGGAUCGAAGGCGAUCAGAUACCGCCCUAGUUCUAACCCUAAACGAUGCCAACCAUCAAUCCGCGCGUAGCACCCUUCUUAACGGGCUCGGCGGGCAGCUCCCCACUCACGGGAAACCAGAGUCUCUGGGUUCCGGGGGGAGUCUGGUUGCAAAGCUGAAACUUAAAGGAAUUGACGGAAAGGCACCACCAGGCGUGGAGUGCGGCUUAAUUUGACUCAACACGGGCCAUCUCACCAGGCCAGCACUCUUGAAUGAUUGACAGAUUGAGAGCUCUUUCUCGAUUCAGUGGAUGGUGGUGCAUGGCCGUUCUUAGUUGAUGGAGUGAUCUGUCUGGUUAAUUCCGAUAACGAACGAGACUCUCCCCUGCUAACUAGUCGGUUGGAUCUUGCUCGGUGAGUCGUGUGCCGGGAAAACCCGUGCAUCUCGGAGGCGUGGUGCGCGCUGGUGCGUCUGUCGUGUGUGUGUGUGUUUGGGGAGUUUCGGCUCACCUGCGCGCGCGCGCGUGCAUUCCAUCGGCCGUGUCGCCCUUUGGGUCACGGGCCUCGGGCCACACACUCCAAGUCCGCCGCUUAUGCUAUAACUCUUCUUAGAGGGAUUCACGGUACUGAAACCGUCAGAGACUGAGAGCAAUAACAGGUCUGUAAUGCCCUUAGAUGCUCUGGGCCGCACGCGCGCUACAAUGCCGGGCACAGCAGGCAUUUCUCCUGUUCCGACAGGAGCAGGUAACCCUCUGAAAGCCCUCUUGUUUUAUCGUGUCUGACACGAGCGGCGUGCUUGGGCCUGGGGCUUGCAAUUCUUUCCCACAAACGAGGAAUGCCUAGUAGCGGCGGGUCACUGAGCCCGCUGUGACUCAGUCCCUGCCCUUUGUACACACCGCCCGUCGCUACUACCGAUUGGGUGUACCAGUGAGAGCUUUGGACUGGCGUCCGUUGCCUUCGGGCAAACGGGUCCGACGGAAAGAGGUCCGAACUGGUGCACUUAGAGGAAGUAAAAGUCGUAACAAGGUUUCCGUAGUGAACCUGCGGAAGGAUCAUUA